CCGAAGAAGGGAGAGGGGCGCACGAAAAGAGGCGGAAGCCUCUGGAACCACCUGGAAAGGACCCUUAACGGGUCUGCCUAGCGGGUCGGAUCCAAGUCCGGAUCCGAAACCCGUUAGGCCUAAAUCCUUUAAUUCGAUUUGGGUGAGUCCGAUGAAGGAUUGAUUCAAGCCCAAUCGAGUUAAAUGGGUUAAAUUAAGCCCAAUUGAGCUAGGCCUGAACCCCCAUUUAUGCAAUAGUAAUCCCAGCAGGCCCAAUUAAUUGUAAAUCAGGCCCAGUCCAAGCUAAUUAAAUUGGCAGAGGGCCUAAUUGGCUGAAAGAGGCUGGACUUAGUUUUAAAUCAGGCCCAACCCUGUCAUUAAAAAAAAANNNNNNNNNNNNNNNNNNNNNNAAAUGGCUUUAAAUGAACACCAAAGGCUUCAAAUUGGCUAAAUUAAAAUGGGCUAAGAUCCUUGGUUGGGACCCAAGCAAGUCCAUGAUAAGAUGAACCAAAUUCUAUAAUAAAUAGAGAAUAAUAUGAUUCCUAUAAUGUGGUUUUAGGAAUCAACGAUUUGCCACCAAGACUUUGGAUAACGAAUUUGCUGUAAGUAAUCUGUCUUAAUCUUAUCGUAGAUCUUGUAUUACGUUUUAUAAGAUGAACCAGUGUUUUUCAUACAAUUUGAAUUGUAUACAUGAUUUGUGAAGAAAGUAAGUAACCUGUCCUAAUCCUGUUAUGGAUCAUGUCAUGUUAUUAAUGUUUCCUAAGCAUUUAUUUUAAGUAUAUAUGUUUCAUGCAUGAUAUGUUACAAUGCAUAAGUAACUUGCAUGAUCCCAGAAGCUAUGGCUAUGUAUGCAACAUGAUGAUACUGAUAUUUUAAUCAUGCAUGUAAGUUUAUAAAGUCUUAGCUAGCCCAGAGGCACUAUAAUGGGUUCAAAGAUGCUACUGAGAAUGACUGAGCCGCCAAUGGCUGAAUAGUAACUGGGCCUGCCCCGCCAGUGGCUGAAUAGUAACUGGGCCUGCCCCGCCAGUGGCUGAAUAGUAACUGAGCUGGCCCCGCCAGUGGUCGAGUCUGACUUCGCAGUAGCAUCCGAGAGAAUGGACCACGGCAUGCCGGGGGGCACGGUUUCAUAUGCAUAUAUUAUAAAAAAUUUUGUGAUUUGCACUACUGCUUUGUUUAAAUUGCUUACAUGUUAUGCCAUGAUGAUUAUUAGAUAAACAUGCAUGUCAGCUUCUCAAAACCUGAUUUACAUGUUUAGCCUACUGGUUGAUCCGGUAGGAUUAUGCAGGAUUACUUACUGAGCCGUGUAGCUCACAUCUGUUUAUGCUUCGUUUUCUUUCAGAUCC
rnacentral:lncRNA from 1 species